rnacentral:tRNA from 1 species
GGGCUGCUAGCUCAAUUGGCAGAGCAGCGGACUUUUAAUCCGCGGGUUCUCGGUUCGAGUCCGAGGCGGCCCA